GACGUAGGGGGCUAGCGUUGUCCGGAAUCAUUGGGCGUAAAGCGCGCGUAGGCGGCCCGGUAAGUCCGCUGUGAAAGUCAAAGGCUCAACCUUUGAAUGUCAGCGGAUACUGCCGGGCUAGAGUCCGGAAGAGGCGAGUGGAAUUCCUGGUGUAGCGGUGAAAUGCGCAGAUAUCGGGAGGAACACCAAUGGCGAAGGCAGCUCGCUGGGACGGUACUGACGCUGAGACGCGAAAGCCAGGGGAGCAAACGGG
rnacentral:rRNA from 1 species